rnacentral:rRNA from 1 species
GUGGGGAAUCUUCCGCAAUGGACGAAAGUCUGACGGAGCAACGCCGCGUGAGUGAUGAAGGUCUUCGGAUUGUAAAGCUCUGUUAAUCGGGACGAAAGAGCCUAGUGUGAAUAAUGCUAGGAAGUGACGGUACCGGAAUAGAAAGCCACGGCUAACUACGUGCCAGCAGCCGCGGUAAUACGUAGGUGGCAAGCGUUGUCCGGAAUUAUUGGGCGUAAAGCGCGCGCAGGCGGAUCUGCCAGUCUGUCUUAAAAGUUCGGGGCUUAACACCGUGAUGGGAUGGAAACUACAGAUCUAGAGUAUCGGAGAGGAAAGUGGAAUUCCUAGUGUAGCGGUGAAAUGCGUAGAUAUUAGGAAGAACACCAGUGGCGAAGGCGACUUUCUGGACGAAAACUGACGCUGAGGCGCGAAAGCCAGGGGAGCGAACGGGAUUAGAUACCCCUGUAGUCC